rnacentral:rRNA from 1 species
UACGUAGGGUGCAAGCGUUGUCCGGAAUUAUUGGGCGUAAAGAGCUUGUAGGCGGUUUGUCGCGUCUGCUGUGAAAUUUCGGGGCUCAACCCCGAACUUGCAGUGGGUACGGGCAGACUAGAGUGUGGUAGGGGAGACUGGAAUUCCUGGUGUAGCGGUGAAAUGCGCAGAUAUCAGGAGGAACACCGGCGGCGAAGGCGGCACUCUGGGCCGGUACUGACGCUGAGGAGCGAAAGCGUGGGGAGCGAACAGG